rnacentral:lncRNA from 1 species
GCAGGACCUGCCUUGUUGAUAGUGUUGUUAAGAAGGUAGAAACUAGGGCCUGUAGGACCUGCCUUGUUGAUAGUGUUGUUAAGAAGGUAGAAACUAGGGCCUGUAGGACCUGCCUUGUUGAUAGUGUUGUUAAGAAGGUAGAAACUAGGGCCUGUAGGACCUGCCUUGUUGAUAGUGUUGUUAAGGUAGAAACUAGGGCCUGUAGGACCUGCCUUGUUGAUAGUGUUGUUAAGAAGGUAGAAACUAGGGCCUGUAGGACCUGCCUUGUUGAUAGUGUUGUUAAGAAGGUAGAAACUAGGGCCUGUAGGACCUGCCUUGGUGAUAGUGUUGUUAAGAAGGUAGAAACUAGGGCCUGUAGGACCUGCCUUGUUGAUAGUGUUGUUAAGAAGGUAGAAACUAGGGC